AUUGAACGCUGGCGGUAUGCUUAACACAUGCAAGUCGAACGGUAACAGGCCUUCGGGCGCUGACGAGUGGCGGACGGGUGAGUAACGCGUAGGAAUCUGCCUUAUAGUGGGGGACAACGUGGGGAAACUCACGCUAAUACCGCAUACGCCCUACGGGGGAAAGCGGGGGAUCGUAAGACCUCGCGCUAUGAGAUGAGCCUGCGUUAGAUUAGCUAGUUGGUAGGGUAAAGGCCUACCAAGGCGACGAUCUAUAGCUGGUCUGAGAGGACGAUCAGCCACACUGGGACUGAGACACGGCCCAGACUCCUACGGGAGGCAGCAGUGGGGAAUAUUGGACAAUGGGCGCAAGCCUGAUCCAGCAAUACCGCGUGUGUGAAGAAGGCCUUAGGGUUGUAAAGCACUUUCAAUGGGGAGGAAAACCUGCCGGUCAAUACCCGGUAGCUUGACAUUACCUAUAGAAGAAGCACCGGCUAACUCCGUGCCAGCAGCCGCGGUAAUACGGAGGGUGCGAGCGUUAAUCGGAAUUACUGGGCGUAAAGCGUGCGUAGGCGGCUCGUUAAGUCAGAUGUGAAAGCCCUGGGCUCAACCUGGGAACUGCAUUUGAAACUGGCGAGCUAGAGUUGAGUAGAGGGGAGUGGAAUUUCAGGUGUAGCGGUGAAAUGCGUAGAUAUCUGAAGGAACACCAGUGGCGAAGGCGACUCCCUGGACUCAAACUGACGCUGAGGUACGAAAGCGUGGGUAGCAAACAGGAUUAGAUACCCUGGUAGUCCACGCUGUAAACGAUGUCAACUAGCCGUUGGUCCUAUUUACAGGAUUAGUGGCGCAGCUAACGCAUUAAGUUGACCGCCUGGGGAGUACGGCCGCAAGGUUA
rnacentral:rRNA from 1 species